CAUGUGUAAACUUCUGGAGUAAGCUGUGAGGAAUCAGUUACGUUAUUUCAGGCUAUCUCUGCAAACGUCUCCCUGUCUUUCCCAUAUCGUGCUGGACAUGGCACAGUGCUGAAUGUGAUGCUACUUUCAGAGCCCACAGAAUGAAAGUCUUAUUACAGACCCUAGCCUGCUUCCCAUGUGAAGAUCAAACGAGAUCACUGCCAAGCUUCAGUUAAGAAUGAGCCCAGGGUCUGCAAGCCCAGCAGAUGACUUGUUCUGGCAAUUUAAAGGUAUCACCUCAUCCUGAUAGAAGCUAUAACGGGAUGAAGAUUGUCCCUCUUAAAAUAAACUUAUUGGUUUC